GUGUGGGUGUGUGGUGUGUGUGUGUGUGUGUGUGCGUGUACAUAUACACAUACGCAUAUACAUACACACACACACUGCACAUAUAUAU
rnacentral:pre_miRNA from 1 species